UACGUAGGCGGAAAAAUAAGUCAGUGGUGAAAUCCUGCAGCUCAACUGUAGAACUGCCAUUGAAACUGUUUUUCUUGAGUAUAGUUGAGGUGGGCGGAAUGUGUCAUGUAGCGGUGAAAUGCUUAGAUAUGACACAGAACACCGAUUGCGUAGGCAGCUCACUAAACUAUCACUGACGCUGAGGUACGAAAGCGUGGGGAGCGAACAGGAUUAGAUACCCUGGUAGUCC
rnacentral:rRNA from 1 species